AACGCACAUUGCGCCCCUUGGUAUUCCGAGGGGCAUGCCUGUUCGAGCGUCAUUAUCACCCCUCAAGCCUAGCUUGGUGUUGGGGCCCGCCCGUCAGGGCAGCCCUUAAAAUCAGUGGCGGCGCCGUCAGGCUCUAAGCGUAGUAAUACUUCUCGCUAUAGAGCCCUGGCGGUCUCUUGCCAAAACCCCUAAUUUUUUAUGAUUGACCUCGGAUCAGGUAGGGUUACCCGCUGAACUUAA
rnacentral:misc_RNA from 1 species